CGGGAGGCAGCAGUGGGGAAUAUUGGACAAUGGGCGCAAGCCUGAUCCAGCCAUGCCGCGUGAGUGAUGACGGCCCUAGGGUUGUAAAGCUCUUUCAACGGUGAAGAUAAUGACGGUAACCGUAGAAGAAGCCCCGGCUAACUUCGUGCCAGCAGCCGCGGUAAUACGAAGGGGGCUAGCGUUGUUCGGAAUUACUGGGCGUAAAGCGCACGUAGGCGGACUGAUAAGUCAGGGGUGAAAUCCCGGGGCUCAACCCCGGAACUGCCUUUGAUACUGUCAGUCUAGAGUUCGAGAGAGGUGAGUGGAAUUCCGAGUGUAGAGGUGAAAUUCGUAGAUAUUCGGAGGAACACCAGUGGCGAAGGCGGCUCACUGGCUCGAUACUGACGCUGAGGUGCGAAAGCGUGGGGAGCAAACAGGAUUAGAUACCCGUGUAGUCCA
rnacentral:rRNA from 1 species